GGAGAGAGGGCGGCCGUGAGCGCGGCAGGGCGGCCCCGGCGCGGCGGCGGGCGCGGCACGGCCGGCGCCCCUCACCUGGAUGCGGGACUCGGGGAUCUGCGUGGCGUCGGCCAGUUUCUCCCGCAGAUGCACGUUAAAUGCACCUGGAGAGCCACAGCAGAGGCAGACAUUGUUGUCAUCACCUUUUCCACCACUUGCUAAUGCCUUUACACAUCACACUGGCACAUCCCGUGUGCUUCUGCCAAAACUGAUUCCCAGAGGAGAGGUCUUAUACUAAAACGCUGCCUGCACACCCCAACAACACCAAGGCACUUAAAAUGCUUGUGUCUCAUGGUUAUUGAGAAAAGGAUCCAAAUGUGAAGUUUUACUCCAAUGGUUCAAAACCAGAAGACAAAACACCAGAACCAGAACUGUCCUGGUAUGGCUGGAUGCCUGUUACAAUAUGAACACAAACUCAUGAUCUUUCUCUGCCCUUGGCUGCCCUGGUGCUAUUAAAAUCCACCAAGUUUUUCCUCUCUCAGUGGGACUGCCUGGAGAAUCCUUCAUCUGGCUUCGCAGUGCUUCCCUGCUGCUACUCAGGCACAUGCCAAGGUCAGUGCUCUGGCUUCAGUCUAAUCAUUCAUUCUAAAUGAAUUAUUUUCUGACCAGUUCUGGAGAUGGGGGACUUUUAGUCUCAUGUAUCAUAACAUUUACAACAAAACCAUUUGGGUUUUGCUCUUUCAUUUUUUCUGAGCUCUUCAAUUUCAAAGCCUCUGUUCAAAAGUUUGGAAGAUUUUCAGGUUUAACAUGUGGAUGGAACGUGGGAAGUUUCACCUGAGCUGGGGUUUUGCAGUUGAUCAUUAAAUCAGCAGUACCACAUGAUCAUAGCUGGGGAGUGCAGUGGUUACUAUGCCAUUUGAUAAAGUCAUUCCCUUCUGUGCAUGAAUUGACUCAUAUUUCUUUGUAAUUUAAAGUCAAAUUAAAGAGAAGUGCCACAUAACACACUCAGUAGGAAUUAUUUACAUGGGUUAUCCUGACUUUUGUGAGCCCACAGCACGGAUUUCUGGUGCCUGACUCACAGAGAAGCUCCUUGAAUUUGCACAGAUCAGCAUCUCCAUCCUCCCCCCACCACUGUCUUGUCCCCUGCCUCAGCCAUCCCAGAUAAGUUGUCCAACAGAGUCCUGUGUGGACUCUGGGAAAGGCUGUCUCUGAGGCAUGUCCCUGCCUCCAGCCUGCACCACUGCCCCCCUGGGCUGCCCUGCUCAUUCUCUCACUCCCAUUUUACAUGACAGCUGGUUUUCUUCCCCUUUUAUUCAAACUCAACUCCUCUGCUUUUAUUUCUGGCAGGGUUAUUUUUCAAUUUGACUCUGGCUCUGUUUGCCUAGGCCACACCCUUGUCACCUCCUUAUUCUGAUCCUCUCCUUUGUUGACUAAAGGUCUUCCUCUCCUUCCUUUUAUUGGUAUUUUUAUCUCUUUCUCCAUUAUCUUUUAGUCCCCUUCAUUUUUACCCCUCUCUUUUGCAUAUGACCAAGCUUGUUUUAGAUGUUACUUGAGGAAUUUAAGACUUUUCUC